GGGCCCGUAGCUCAGCCUGGAUAGAGCGGCAGUCAAUUCUUGGCCGAUCCCCCUAUGCCUUGAGCGGGUUGAGCUGUAGGUCCGGGGUUCGAAUCCCCGCGGGCCCGCCA
rnacentral:tRNA from 1 species